AUUGAACGCUGGCGGCAGGCUUAACACAUGCAAGUCGAGCGGAGUGAUGGUGCUUGCACUAUCACUUAGCGGCGGACGGGUGAGUAAUGCUUAAGAAUCUACCUAUUAGUGGGGGACAACAUCUCGAAAGGGAUGCUAAUACCGCAUACGUCCUACGGGAGAAAGCAGGGGAUCACUUGUGACCUUGCGCUAAUAGAUGAGCCUAAGUCGGAUUAGCUAGUUGGUGGGGUAAAGGCCUACCAAGGCGACGAUCUGUAGCGGGUCUGAGAGGAUGAUCCGCCACACUGGGACUGAGACACGGCCCAGACUCCUACGGGAGGCAGCAGUGGGGAAUAUUGGACAAUGGGGGGAACCCUGAUCCAGCCAUGCCGCGUGUGUGAAGAAGGCCUUAUGGUUGUAAAGCACUUUAAGCGAGGAGGAGGCUCUUUUGGUUAAUACCCAAGAUGAGUGGACGUUACUCGCAGAAUAAGCACCGGCAACUCUGUGCCAGCCGCCGCGGUAA
rnacentral:rRNA from 1 species